CAAUCUGAAAUAUUGGGCCUUGGCCCAUCUAAGUUACUUAGGUAUUAAGUCUUGGCCCAUACUACUUCAAUCAUAAGCUAUUUAUUAAUUACUUCUCUAGAACCUACUUGAUAACUUAAAAAAAAAAAAAAAAAUAACAAUAAAAGAAUAAAAAGGGAGAGAAGUAUCAGCAUAGUUCCAAUAAGAAUAAAAAAAAACAAGAGCUACAGGGAAAGGAAGUGAAGAAAAGGAGCUAGAGACUUAGAACCAGAUAAGAAAAAUUCAAGAUCCAACUAGUUUCUCCAUUCUUGACUUUGCAAAUAACUGAUACUUCAAGGGGACAAUUGCCGGAAGCGAAUUGGAGUUACUCAGCAAGAGUACAAUAAUUUAGCCGAAGGUGACAUUCUGACUCAGACGGAGCGAUAAACAGAGCUGACAACGAAUCCAGUAAGCCCCGCACUUGUUUCGCGAGGGCAACCAUGUUGCUAACUACUAUAGUAUAUUAGUUUUUUUUUUUCUUUCUUUCUUUCUAAUCCUAGAGUUUUGCUCCUUAAGUCGGCCUUGUAUAUCUUAUUUUGGCUUGUGUUAGUAAAGUAUAGCUUGGGACUUAUAAGUUUUGCGGAAGCCUAUGGCUUG